rnacentral:rRNA from 1 species
GACGAACGCUGGCGGCGUGCCUAAUACAUGCAAGUAGAACGCUGAAGGAGGAGCUUGCUCUUCUGGAUGAGUUGCGAACGGGUGAGUAACGCGUGGGUAACCUGCCUGGUAGCGGGGGAUAACUAUUGGAAACGAUAGCUAAUACCGCAUAACAGUAGAUGUUGCAUGACAUUUACUUAAAAGGUGCAAUUGCAUCACUACCAGAUGGACCUGCGUUGUAUUAGCUAGUUGGUGGGGUAACGGCUCACCAAGGCGACGAUACAUAGCCGACCUGAGAGGGUGAUCGGCCACACUGGGACUGAGACACGGCCCAGACUCCUACGGGAGGCAGCAGUAGGGAAUCUUCGGCAAUGGACGGAAGUCUGACCGAGCAACGCCGCGUGAGUGAAGAAGGGUUUCGGAUCGUAAAGCUCUGUUGUAAGAGAAGAACGAGUGUGAGAGUGGAAAGUUCACACUGUGACGGUAUCUUACCAGAAAGGGACGGCUAACUACGUG